GAUGAACGCUGGCGGCGUGCCUAAUACAUGCAAGUCGAGCGAAUGGAUUAAGAGCUUGCUCUUAUGAAGUUAGCGGCGGACGGGUGAGUAACACGUGGGUAACCUGCCCAUAAGACUGGGAUAACUCCGGGAAACCGGGGCUAAUACCGGAUAACAUUUUGAACCGCAUGGUUCGAAAUUGAAAGGCGGCUUCGGCUGUCACUUAUGGAUGGACCCGCGUCGCAUUAGCUAGUUGGUGAGGUAACGGCUCACCAAGGCAACGAUGCGUAGCCGACCUGGGAGGGUGAUCGGCCACACUGGGACGGAGACACGGCCCAGACUCCUACGGGAGGCAGCAGUAGGGAAUCUUCCGCAAUGGACGAAAAUCUGACGGAGCAACGCCGCGUGAGUGAUGAAGGCUUUCGGGUCGUAAAACUCUGUUGUUAGGGAAGAACAAGUGCUAGUUGAAUAAGCUGGCACCUUGACGGUACCUAACCAGAAAGCCACGGCUAACUACGUGCCAGCAGCCGCUGUAA
rnacentral:rRNA from 1 species